UACGUAGGGGGCAAGCGUUGUCCGGAAUCAUUGGGCGUAAAGAGCGUGUAGGCGGCCCGAUAAGUCCGCCGUGAAAGUCCAGGGCUCAACCCUGGAAUGCCGGUGGAAACUGUCGGGCUGGAGUCCGGAAGAGGCGAGUGGAAUUCCUGGUGUAGCGGUGAAAUGCGCAGAUAUCGGGAGGAACACCAAUGGCGAAGGCAGCUCGCUGGGACGGUACUGACGCUGAGACGCGAAAGCGUGGGGAGCAAACAGG
rnacentral:rRNA from 1 species